UUUAUAGUAGUAAAAAUAUAACGAAGGACUUAAAAUCCUUAAUUGGAGAUGAAAUAUCCCCCUAUAAUU
rnacentral:tRNA from 1 species